rnacentral:lncRNA from 1 species
CUAACCAUGCAGGGAAUAAGUCCACUUUAACUCCCUUAACAGUGACCCGAAUUUAAUCCAUGACUCUCAACCGUAAAACCAGAUAGGAAGUCUAUCCGGUUAAAGUGCACUUUCUAUCUAGUUUUACAGUUGAGAGUCAUGUAUUAGAUUUAGGUCAUUUUUAAGGGAGUCAAAGUAGACUUGUUCCAACCAUGCAGUCCCCCGAGACGGGAGAAAGGAGCAGCCGGACUCGGUCCACUAAAAGAAGGGUUAACUGGAUCGAGCGCAUCUCAAGCAAGCAGAGCGCCUCCUCUUGCCGUCCUUCGUCCAGGAGGACUUCAGCUGCCGCAGCAGCAGUGGCGCAGGUAGGGAGGUGCCAAAGGGUGCCAACACCCUCCUAUCUAAACACUAUCACCAUUACACCCCUAUGUUUUUACUCUAUAUUAAGUUAGCUAAGAUAAGUAUUUAUCUAGUUUAUUUUGUAUAGUUUGAAAGUAUUAUCAGUUUAGUUAGUUAGCAAGUCUAAAAAUAUUAGCAAAAAACAUGAUAUACAAAAUUAGUUUGUGAUUUAUCAUCUUUUUCAAAGUAAAAUAAAUGAUACUUAUUUGUAAGAUUAUUUAAUAGUUUACAUUAAAAGAAUUUAGCAAAAAAGACUAGUUUCAAACUUUCAAUGAUAUUAUUAAAGAGCUAAAAUUCAAGUUUUUCUUAAAGAGCUACGUAUUGCUUAUUAUUGACGGUGACUAUUUAACCUACUUUACUAUGUAAAAACUCUCUUUAUAUAAAAGCUGGGCCAUCUGGCCUUCUAUCAAAAAAAAAAAGUUCCAGAAAUCAUUCUCGUUGAAUCGUAGUAUAGCUCAAAUAUGAAUAGAGGUAGAAAUUAAUGACCAGAAUUUACUUUCCCAAUUAGCUAGUAAGAGCAUCUAUGAUAAAAUCCAUCAGCAUGAUAUAACAUGAAUGGAGGGGAAAUGUGACAUUAAAUUUUAUGAAGGAUAAAAAAGUGAUAUCAUGCAGAUCUAGCCAAUGGCUAGGCAGAUGAAGACAAACAGGAGCAUUGCCGUUUGCUAUACAGGAGGAAUGAGUACAACCAAUAAACUCAUCCCAAAGCCACCUGUUUCAACCUUGUGAGCCAAUGAGCUGAUCAGCUGAACAUGGGAAAAUGAGGGAAGAGAAGUACCUGAUUCAGCAAGAAGACCCCAUGGGAACAGAAAAAAGGUAUAGGCCAGGAAGACACGAAUGAAUGGGCUGCUUGUGUGCAAUGAAACAAUCUCACUGAAGGAGAAACAAUUGUGUCGGUUUGUGUCCAAUAAAUCAAGAUGAAGAUUGGCGAAUCCAGCUGUUGUGCUGCAACAAUUAGUUUCAUAGAAAAAGGGGAGGCUAAAAUGCCUGCUAAAAUGCUGCAUCGAACCGAAGCCACCAGAUGAGUUGGACAUGAUUACAUGAGCCCUUUUACAGAUGGAAACCGCGCUAACAGGGGAAAGGGAUUUGAUGGAUCUUUGUAUCUGGACCAGGAAGAAACGUUUUCGUGGGUAUGGAUGAACAACUUGUUAGUGCCAUUGCUACCAGGUAUACAUGUAUCCUGUAGGAUAGUAGUUGGACGUGGGUGUAGCCGCGUAGGCGAACAGAUUGAUUCGUUGUGUUGUUGCUUGUUUGUGGGAGCUCAGCAUGCAAGAAGAUCCUUUAAUAGCUGCCCUUCCAGUUCUUUUCCUCUUAUAUUCCUUGAGAAGUGGAAGAGGCUGUUGGUUUCGCAGAGGGAGAGACCGUAGGAUGGUGGAACCAUGGAAGAUGAACCAAAUGACAGUUUUUGAUCGAGCCAUCAAGGAGGAGGCGAAUCGAUGAGGGGAAGAGGACUCGACAACGCACGAUGGAGGAAGGAGGAAGAGGAAAGGUUCACUGGCUGGCCCAGGUGGGAAAAUUGGGCUGGGCUCAGCGAGCAAGAGAAAAGGUCUCGAGGAAGCAAUCUGCACCGUUAAGAACGUGAAUCCAACGGAUGGAAUUAAGUGGUGAUGUGGCUUAACCUCAAAGCAGGAAAUUGCUAAUAACUAUACUAAGU